GACGAACGCUGGCGGCGUGCUUAACACAUGCAAGUCGAACGGAAAGGCCCUGCUUUUGUGGGGUGCUCGAGUGGCGAACGGGUGAGUAACACGUGAGUAACCUGCCCUUGACUUUGGGAUAACUUCAGGAAACUGGGGCUAAUACCGGAUAGGAGCUCCUGCUGCAUGGUGGGGGUUGGAAAGUUUCGGCGGUUGGGGAUGGACUCGCGGCUUAUCAGCUUGUUGGUGGGGUAGUGGCUUACCAAGGCUUUGACGGGUAGCGGGCCUGAGAGGGUGACCGGCCACAUUGGGACUGAGAUACGGCCCAGACUCCUACGGGAGGCAGCAGUGGGGAAUAUUGCACAAUGGGCGGAAGCCUGAUGCAGCAACGCCGCGUGCGGGAGGACGGCCUUCGGGUUGUAAACCGCUUUCGCCUGUGACGAAGCGUGAGUGACGGUAAUGGGUAAAGAAGCACCGGCUAACUACGUG
rnacentral:rRNA from 1 species